AACGCGAAGAACCUUACCUGGGUUAAAUCCACCGGAAUCUUGCAGAGAUGUAGGAGUGCCCUUCGGGGAACCGGUGAGAAGGUGCUGCAUGGCUGUCGUCAGCUCGUGUCGUGAGAUGUUGGGUUAAGUCCCGCAACGAGCGCAACCCUUGUCGUCAGUUGCUAACAGGUCAAGCUGAGCACUCUGGCGAGACUGCCGACGUUAAGUCGGAGGAAGGUGGGGAUGACGUCAAGUCCUCAUGGCCCUUAUGCCCAGGGCUACACACGUGCUACAAUGGCCGGUACAAAGGGUCGCUAACCUGCGAAGGCAUGCCAAUCCCAAAAAACCGGUCUCAGUUCGGAUAGGAGUCUGCAACUCGACUCCUUGAAGUCGGAAUCGCUAGUAAUCGCGGAUCAGCACGCCGCGGUGAAUACGUUCCCGGGCCUUGUACACACCGGAGUGC
rnacentral:rRNA from 1 species